rnacentral:tRNA from 1 species
UGGGAGAUCGUCUAAUGGUAGGACAAUAGAUUCUGGAUCUAUUUAUCUUGGUUCGAAUCCAAGUCUCCCAGCCC